CUCACCAAACCGGGAUCGAACCAGGGACCUUUAGAUCUUCAGUCUAACGCUCCCCCAACUGAGCUAUUAGCGC
rnacentral:tRNA from 1 species